ACGACGCUGGCGGCAUGCCUAAUACAUGCAAGUCGAACGCUGAAGCACUCUGCUUGCAGAGUGCGGAUGAGUGGCGAACGGGUGAGUAACACGUGGGAAAUCUGCCUAGGAGUGGGGGAUAACAUUCGGAAACGGAUGCUAAUACCGCAUAUCUUUUUGAACCGCAUGGUUCUUAAACGAAAGACGGCUUCGGCUGUCGCUCUUAGAUGAUCCCGCGGCGUAUUAGUUAGUUGGUGGGGUAAAGGCCUACCAAGACCAUGAUACGUAGCCGACCUGAGAGGGUGAUCGGCCACACUGGGACUGAGACACGGCCCAGACUCCUACGGGAGGCAGCAGUAGGGAAUCUUCCACAAUGGGUGAAAACCUGAUGGAGCAAUGCCGCGUGAAUGAAGAAGGUCUUCGGAUCGUAAAGUUCUGUUAUUAGAGAAGAACAAGUCAAGGAGUAACUGUCUUGACUUUGACGGUACCUAACCAGAAAGUCACGGCUAACUACGUG
rnacentral:rRNA from 1 species